rnacentral:tRNA from 2 species
GGACCCGUAGCUCAGCCAGGACAGAGCGUGGGCCUCCGGAGCCCAAGGUCCCGGGUUCGAGUCCCGGCGGGUCCG